GAUGAACGCUAGCUACAGGCUUAACACAUGCAAGUCGAGGGGAAACGACAUCGAAAGCUUGCUUUUGAUGGGCGUCGACCGGCGCACGGGUGAGUAACGCGUAUCCAACCUGCCCAUCACUUGGGAAUAACCUUGCGAAAGUAAGACUAAUACCCAAUGAUAUCCCACGAAGGCAUCGGAAUGGGAUUAAAGAUUUAUCGGUGAUGGAUGGGGAUGCGUCUGAUUAGCUUGUUGGCGGGGUAACGGCCCACCAAGGCAACGAUCAGUAGGGGUUCUGAGAGGAAGGUCCCCCACAUUGGAACUGAGACACGGUCCAAACUCCUACGGGAGGCAGCAGUGAGUAAUAUUGGUCAAUGGGCGAGAGCCUGAACCAGCCAAGUAGCGUGCAGGAAGACGGCCCUAUGGGUUGUAAACUGCUUUUAUAAGGGAAUAAAGUGGGUCACGUGUGACUUUUUGCAUGUACCUUAUGAAUAAGGACCGGCUAAUUCCGUG
rnacentral:rRNA from 1 species